rnacentral:rRNA from 1 species
CGCCAGACUCCUACGGGAGGCAGCAGUGAGGAAUAUUGGUCAAUGGCCGGAAGGCUGAACCAGCCAAGUCGCGUGAGGGACGACUGCCCUAUGGGUUGUAAACCUCUUUUAUAAGGGAAGAAUAAAUGCUACGUGUAGCAUGAUGCCUGUACCUUAUGAAUAAGCAUCGGCUAACUCCGUGCCAGCAGCCGCGGUAAUACGGAGGAUGCGAGCGUUAUCCGGAUUUAUUGGGUUUAAAGGGUGCGUAGGCGGAAGUUUAAGUCAGCGGUCAAAUGUCGGUGCUCAACACCGGCCUGCCGUUGAAACUGGUCUUCUUGAGUGAGCGAGAAGUAUGCGGAAUGCGUGGUGUAGCGGUGAAAUGCAUAGAUAUCACGCAGAACUCCGAUUGCGAAGGCAGCAUACCGGCGCUCAACUGACGCUGAGGCACGAAAGCGUGGGGAUCGAACAGGAUUAGAUACCCUCGUA